AUUGAACGCUGGCGGCAGGCUUAACACAUGCAAGUCGAGCGAGCGGCGGACGGGUGAGUAAUGGCUGGGAAACUGCCUGAUGGAGGGGGAUAACUACUGGAAACGGUAGCUAAUACCGCAUACCAUCAGAUGUGCCCAGAUGGGAUUAGCUAGUAGGGGGGGUAAUGGCUCACAUAGGCGACGAUCCCUAGCUGGCCUGAGAGGAUGACCGGCCACACUGGAACUGAGACACGGUCCAGACGCCUACGGGAGGCAGCAGGGGGGAAUAUUGCACAAUGGGCGCAAGCCUGAUGCAGCAAUGCCGCGUGUGUGAAGAAGGCCUUCGGGUUGUAAAGCACUGUCAGCGAGGAGGCGUUACUUGAAGAAGAAGCACCGGCUAACUCCGUGCCAGCAGCCGCGGUAAUUC
rnacentral:rRNA from 1 species